AAUUCAGGCGACGGUGUCAAUGCCAAUACACUUCCGGUGUUUCUUCUCAACAGCGACAGGCACUCAAAUGACUCCUGCCAUUGGGUUGUCCUCCCUUUACAAGCCUCGACAGAGCCCACCAGAAGGACAGACGGACGGACGGGCACAUAAUCAUGAUCUGAUUUUUGCAAGACAAGGUUGGCACCUUGGUGAUGCGUAGGACAACCGGUAUGGCGCAGUAAUUGGCUGCUCGUCGUGACAUCGACUCGGCUGCUACCCGCGGAGAGAGCCAAAACACCCACACGAUUUCUCCAAUCAAACACGGAGCACGCUGGAGAUCGGCUGAGGAUUAUUUCAUUAAAGCCGUAAUCCCCUCCGAAGCGUCUAGGAGACAUGAAUGACAGAGGAGUGUCAAACCAAUUGGCAAGAACAUCAUCGAGCUUUAAAUGGGCUCUUCUGACUUGGACCGUCAUGGAUUUUCUAGAAGCUGUCAAGAACGUGAUGUGCAGACUGAUACCUACUGCAUCAGAUUGACUCGAACGAGUUCAGACCUGAUAAAGAAUCCAACUAAAUGCAGAAGCUUCGGCGAAGACUUCUUUUCAGAGGUAC